AGUGAACGCUGGCGGUAGGCCUAACACAUGCAAGUCGAACGGCAGCACAGUAAGAGCUUGCUCUUACGGGUGGCGAGUGGUGGACGGGUGAGGAAUACAUCGGAAUCUACUUUUUCGUGGGGGAUAACGUAGGGAAACUUACGCUAAUACCGCAUACGACCUACGGGUGAAAGCAGGGGAUCUUCGGACCUUGCGCGAUUGAAUGAGCCGAUGUCGGAUUAGCUAGUUGGCGGGGUAAGGGCCCACCAAGGCGACGAUCCGUAGCUGGUCUGAGAGGAUGAUCAGCCACACUGGAACUGAGACACGGUCCAGACUCCUACGGGAGGCAGCAGUGGGGAAUAUUGGACAAUGGGCGCAAGCCUGAUCCAGCCAUACCGCGUGGGUGAAGAAGGCCUUCGGGUUGUAAAGCCCUUUUGUUGGGAAAGAAAAGCAGCAGGUUAAUACCCCGCUGUUCUGACGGUACCCAAAGAAUAAGCACCGGCUAACUUCGUG
rnacentral:rRNA from 1 species